rfam:Trichobilharzia regenti genome assembly, scaffold: TRE_scaffold0022993
GUACUGCCGAUGAGUUCCAAACUAGGACGAAACAGCUGUCCAGUAC